UGAAAGCAAGCUUAUAAGCGUCUCAUUUACACUGAGAAGAUUCUUGGCCGGGAUUCCAAGGCUUUUAA
rnacentral:tRNA from 1 species